rnacentral:rRNA from 1 species
CCCUUAGAUGUUCUGGGCCACACGCGCGCUACACUGAUGCAUUCAACAAGCCUAGCCUUGACCGAGAGGUCCGGGUAAUCUUUGAAACUGCAUCGUGAUGGGGCUAGAUUAUUGCAAUUAUUAAUCUUCAACGAGGAAUGCCUAGUAAGCGUGAUUCAUCAAAUCGCGUUGAUUACGUCCCUGCCCUUUGUACACACCGCCCGUCGCUCCUACCGAUUGAAUGUGUUGGUGAGGAGCUCGGAUUGGCAGCAGUUGGUGGUUCGCCACCGGCUAUUGCUGAGAAGUCCUCCAAACCGCCCCAUUUAGAGGAAGGAGAAGUCGUANCA